GUAUUUAGAUCCUGUUUUUAAAGUGCAAUGCUUAUCUAAAGAUGUAAAAGAAUAUAGUCAAGUGUUAUGCUAUAUAGUUAUGUUUAGAACUUUAUAGUGUUUAUAGCUUAAUCGUAUUACGAAGUAUAUAAGGUUCUGUGUGUACGAUACACGUAUAUUUGCGUAUUGAAACAGGAACCCCAGAAUACUUUUUUACAAUUCCUGCCCAUCGCUGCAUCGAGGCUGGCAUAUGCAACCUUGCCUACGCAAUGAUUUUCAGGUGUGGGGCAUGUGAUGGAAGUUUGUUUACUGAGCAGGUUGAGUCACUGCCAGCAAACAGUUAACUAGCAAAAGCUCCUGACUGGCUAGAGUUCCAAGGGAGACAGCUGGAAUGGAGUGAGAGACUGGGUGAGAGAUUCAUAUUCUGUCUGUGAGGGGUUCGUUCUGACAGGAGGGAGAGCUGAGGACUCUCAGUAUACAUGCUCUCAGGGUCUGAAUCACAAAACACUGUUAAAAUAGAAAAGACACAGUCCCACACGGUGUUUAAAGGAAAAAGGGUCCUCAGAGGGAAUACUCUGACAGGAAAGGGCAGUACUGAUUCCAAGGCCAAGGAGGACUUGGGGGUCCGUAAGGAAACAGUCCACUUAAAAACCUAAGUUCCUGAAGAGACAGUGUGUGUGUGAAGUCUGAUCUAUGGAAGGUGUAUAAAAGAAAGUAACUGUAAGCUUGAACAGCAUACAGCCUAUAACUUGAAACAGUAUACAGUCAUACCUCGGGUUACGGACGCUUCAGGUUGCGGAACGGGUUACUUCUGGGUUUUGGAGGUCGUGCAUGCGCAGAAGUGCUAAAUCGUGCUUUCCGCAUGUGCAGAAGUGCUGAAUCACGACCCGCGCAUGUGCAGAUGCACCGCUGCAGGUUGCGGACGUGCAUCCCACACAGAUCACGUUCGCAACCCAAGCGUCCACUGUACAUUUAAAUAAAUAGCGACAGCAUUGUUUGUUACAUUUCUGUGGAAGAGCCAAAACUCCUUGUUUACACCUGUUAUAACAAGGUUUGCUUGCAACCAGUUUUCCCAAAAGAAAAACCCACUAUUGCUCAUGAUUCAUUCUCCAAUGGGGGAAUACACCUGAGGGAAGCAAAACAGAGGGCGGGUACAGCGGCACAAGGGAGAGAGAGGGCCAUCGCCUCGUUGCAUAUUAAUUUGUGGCAGCGCCGUGAUACGAAGUUAAAACCCACACAGAAACAGGCUCACAGAUACAGAACAACCAAUUUAAUAAAGUAUUGAGAAUAUUUUAUUAAAAUAAAAAAAAGGUUUCUGUCAGAAAAUGGCCAGCAAGCACCAAGCAAAAGAGACUCAGGUCAUGACCCAGUGCAGGGAGCUGCUGCUGGAUCUGAGAAUACUAAUACUGAAUUAGAAAUGAUGAGGCUAAGAUUCGAAUUGGCUAAAGUUGAAACAGAGAAAGACAUAAGGUUGAAGCAGAGAAAGAAAAGGCAAAACUAGCAGCUGAACAGGCCAGCCCCUUUAUUACAUAUCUUUAGGUAUCAGGUAAAAACAUUCCCCUUCUCCCAGGCUUUUGGCUAAUUGAAAAAUCUAUGGGGUUGUUUGAUUUGUUAGUUGUUAUGGUAUGUAUCUUUGUGUUUUUAUAUUGUAAAUUACCCUGUGAUCUUUGCAUGAAGGGCAGUCCAGAAAUUUAAUAAAUACUACUACUACUAAUAAUAGCAAUAGAUUAGAUCCCAGGGUUUCUGUACACAUCUCAAGGGGAAAGCUCCAUUAAAACCCAUGGGAUCUGCAUCUGAGUAAACAUGCAAGGACUGCACCAUCAGCCUCAGCUCCAAUCUGCAAUGUGGGCAUUGCUAUAGGGUUGUAUUUGCCCUCUCCUCACUCCUGCAUGCAAUGUGGGAAGAACAGUAACUUCUUUCAAGGUAUCCACAUCCUGCAAUGUGUGUUUGUAGUGCAAAAACGAGGAAGAAAAGUCUGUGUGUGGCCCAGGUUCUUCAUGUAAUGCAAUCUAAGUUUGAAUCCAAAACUACUGGCUUAGCUAGGCACCAAAUGGCACCUCAAAACUAGGUUAUGGGCACAAUAACAGAACAUUUAGGCACUUAAAAAAAUGUAUUACAAAGCUGAAAAUGAACAAACCUCAGCUAAAAUCUCAUGUUCACUUUUCAUAUCAUGCAGCAGGAGGCCUAGCACCUUCUUCAGCGGGAAAGUUUAACUAAACAGUCCUAAAAGCAUAUACCUAAGCAUGCAUAGAAAGUCUAUUUUUGUCUCUGUCUUAUACACACACACACACACACACACACACUUGUGCCUCCUAGCAGCUCAGCUUAAGGUGGGCAACACAAUGUUAUUUAAAACUGUGGCAACCAAACUGGGUAAGAUGAAUUACGAGGAAGUGAUUAGACUUCUCCGACAUUUUUCUUCAGUAAAAGGGAAGUAACCUUCAUUGUUCUCUCCCUCAUGGUGAGAUGUCUUCUCUUAUUUAUGAAACCCUUUCUAUAAUAUUUGUAGGACUGGAUUCCACCAUGACUGACACCCCAACAGUCUUUUAAACCAGGAAGAAGGUAGAAUUUCGCAGAUUGACCGGUUAGAAGAGAAGGCUGGCUGUGAGGAUAUGGUUGUGCUGUCUGGCUGAUGUUUGUGAAGCAUUUGAGAAGGGGGAAAGUAUAUCUGCACCUGCCCUCCUCCUCCAGCAGCAGAGAGUGCUUGCAGGCCAAAUGGUGACGGGGCUCAGUCGCAAUACAUGUGCCCAUGCAUCCAAAACCGGUAGCAAUUGAAUCGUGGCAAAUUGCAAAAUGAACCUGAAUCCUUAGGGCGUUUCAAAUGCUGCUGUUGCCCCUAGACAAAUGAAGCACUAUACCUGG